ACUCAAAUGAAUUGACGGGGGCCCGCACAAGCAGUGGAGCAUGUGGUUUAAUUCGAAGCUACGCGAAGAACCUUACCGGGGAUUGACAUCUUGACGAACCCUGUAGAAAUACGGGGGUGCCUUCGGGAGCGUCAAGACAGGUGGUGCAUGGUUGUCGUCAGCUCGUGUCGUGAGAUGUUGGGUUAAGUCCCGUAACGAGCGCAACCCCUAUGCUUAGUUGCUAACACUAUAAGGUGAGCACUUUAAGCAGACUGCCGUAGAGAAUGCGGAGGAAGGUGGGGACGACGUCAAAUCCUCAUGCCCUUCAUACCCCGGGCUACACACGUGCUACAAUGGCCUGUACAACGGGAAGCUAAGGAGCGAUCUGUAGCGAAUCUCUUAAAGCAGGUCUCAGUUCGGAUUGCAGGCUGCAACUCGCCUGCAUGAAGCAGGAAUUGCUAGUAAUCACGGAUCAUAACGCCGUGGUGAAUACGUUCCCGGGCCUUGUACACACCGCCCGU
rnacentral:rRNA from 1 species